CGCCUCUGCCCUUCCUGGGCGUUUCCUCCCUAAUGAACUAAGCCCGGCGGGUAACCGCCGGGCUUCUUUUUUGCUCGCU
rnacentral:sRNA from 1 species